rnacentral:rRNA from 1 species
GAUGAACGCUGGCGGCGUGCCUAAUACAUGCAAGUCGAGCGAACAGACGAGGAGCUUGCUCCUCUGACGUUAGCGGCGGACGGGUGAGUAACACGUGGAUAACCUACCUAUAAGACUGGGAUAACUUCGGGAAACCGGAGCUAAUACCGGAUAACAUGUUGAACCGCAUGGUUCAACAGUGAAAGACGGUCUUGCUGUCACUUAUAGAUGGAUCCGCGCCGCAUUAGCUAGUUGGUAAGGUAACGGCUUACCAAGGCAACGAUGCGUAGCCGACCUGAGAGGGGGGACGGCCCCACAGGGACUGAGGCCCGGGGCCGAACCCCAAGGGGGGGAAGAGGUGGGGAAUUUUCGGAAAGGGGGGAAAUCCUACAGGGGCAACGCCGGGGGGUGGAAAAAGGCUUUCGGACUGGAAACCCCUUUUUUGGGGAAAGAAAAAAUGGUAAAGUAACCUUGCCCGUCUGGAGGGACCCAAAUCAAAAAGCCCGGGCUAACUACGG